CCUGAGACAACUUACAGGCUUUCUCAGAUUCCCACUGGAGAAAUGCAAAUACAGUGACCCUCUCCUAGGAGUUGAAUGUGAUGCUGUACAACCCUUUGAGGUGAUCAUCAAGUCAUGGGGAACAGCAACAACUAUUGAAUGGGUGUGUUCGUGAGGUCACAGCCUUUGGAGGUGGAACUCUCAGCCCAUUUUCAAGUUUGGCCUUCAGGCAGGGGACUUCAUGCUGGCCACCAACAUCCUGCUGUCUGGAAACAACUACCACAAAAUUGCACUUCUGUUCAGGUUCAUGAACAUGGGCAUUGUUACCAAGUCCACUUUCUUUGCGGUGCAAGACUCCUAUUGUGUUGACCCCAUCGAGGAGUUUUGGCAGGAGAACAGAUCAGCAAUCAUCAACCGCCUGCGUGCCAAGGAUCACGCUGUAGCUAUUGCAGAUGGAAGGAUGGACUCUCCAGGGCACUGUGCACAGUAUUGCUCGUACACCACUAUGGACUGUGAGUCCCGGGACAUCAUCAACAUCACGACAGUCGACAAGAGAGAGACAAACAGGAACUCUGUUGCAAUGGAGAAAGAAGGAUUCAUAAGAGCAAUGGACCAACUUCUUUCUGAAAUACCACUGAAAGAGAUGUGCACUGAUGCACAUGUUCAAAUCAAGGCCCUAGUUGAUCCCAAGCGUGGGAGGUAUGGUGACCGGGGAGUAAUCCACACCUUGGACAUGUGGCAUGGAGUAAAAAGCUUGGCCAAGAAACUACAUGCAGCAGGACAGGUGAAAGGCCAAACAGAAAUCCUACAGUGGUUGAAAGACAUAGUCAAUCACUUCUGGGGCCUAUGGCGAGGUGUUCUUUACCAUGUGACCGGCCGUCAUGAGUGGGCUUUUGGGAGGUGCCUUCAUGAGCAACUGAAUGAUGAAGACCGUGAAAAGGAGUGGAUCCAAAAAGAUUCACCUGCCUACUUGGCACUCAUUGGAGUUGUCCUGAACAAAAAGUGGCUAAAAGAUGUCCCCAAAUUUUUGAACUUCCGGUAAAGGAGAUGUACUUGUCCAGAAAGCACUGUGUAUGUGGAUACUUGGAACAGGGGAAUUUCAGAAAAGUAAGGCUGCAACAUGUUAUGAUACAAUACCUGUUUUUUUGUUUGUUUUUUGUCUGUGUUUCAUAGGACGAUAUCUGACCUUGAGACCUUCCGCAAUCAUAUUUUAAUGUAUGCAGGCAAACGCUUUGCCUUCUCUCCAGCUGUGUAUGAAGCCAGAACUUUGCUUGCUGCAUUAGACUACAACCACCACAACACCAGACCACCAAUGUUGACCAAAGAAGGCAACAGAGUAUACCAGAAAAUUUACAAUAAAAAGUCGAGGAGAUACAGCCUUUACACCAUCAAGAGCCACAAAUCAUACAGCUACAUCCCUGAUCUACAAAGGGCAAUCACACGCAGACGUUUGAUGUCGGGGAAGGGAGUGCCACGAAAGAGGACCAGCAGGGAGGAAGAUCCUAGAAGAUUUGGCCUCCUCCCACCUGUGGAGCCACCAACAACAGAGGAGUUGCUUCAGAGCCAGGUCUCCAGAGGAGAGAUUCUCCUCUGAAGAAAGGAUUACGGAUUGAUUUCUGCAGACCACUCCAUCACUUAACAUUCAGUAAAAAACAAGCUUCUUGUAAAUAUUUGACAGAUUGUAAUAAAAAGCUAAUAAACACUAGAUGAC